GAUGAAGAACGUAGCGAAAUGCGAUAAGUAAUGUGAAUUGCAGAAUUCAGUGAAUCAUCGAAUCUUUGAACGCACAUUGCGCCCGCUAGUAUUCUGGCGGGCAUGCCUGUCCGAGCGUCAUUUCAACCCUCAAGCCCCCGGGCUUGGUGUUGGGGAUCGGCGAGCCUCCGCGCCCGCCGUCCCCUAAAUCUAGUGGCGGUCUCGCUGUAGCUUCCUCUGUGUAGUAGCACACCUCGCACUGGGAAACAGCGCGGCCACGCCGUUAAACCCCCAACUUCUGAACGUUUGACCUCGAAUCAGGUAGGAAUACCCGCUGAACUUAAGCAUAUCAAUAAGCUGAGGA
rnacentral:misc_RNA from 1 species